rnacentral:lncRNA from 1 species
AAUAGAAACGCCAGAUUCCGGUGCGUAACCAAGUAAUAGCAUAUCAUGGCAACAGUUCGACUUGGUUAAAAACAACAACAUCAACAACAACAACAACAACGUGGAGGCAGUAGCAUCCCACACACUUUCUUAGCUAAGCAUCUGAUCAAGUACCUGACACUACAUACCCUGUAUGUUACACAUGUAACCAGAACAUUACACUAUUCAACACAGUAACUAUCUGACACAUACUUAUCUGACAGUGGUACUCAGACUCAGUCUCUGCUAGUCAAUCCAUCAGUCACAAGCACACAUACAAGAGAAUCGUCCCAAAUGGCAUUUACCCAUAAGGCUCUGGUCAAAAGUUGUGGCCUUUAUAGAGGAAAAUGUUCCAUUUGGGACGCAGACAUAGUCACAGAGGUGACGUUAGGGAGGUCACAGAGGUGACGUUAGGGAGGGUCACAGAGGUGACGUUAGGGGGGUCACAGAGGUGGCGUUCUGAGGCUCAUGUCCCAUUGCUGUGUCACCACAGUGACCCGGUGAGGGUGUCGGUCUAACAGAGGUAUGACAUCACAAAAACGCCACACGGGUUAAUGCUGCAUGAAUUGCAAAACUCCCUUUCAACUAAAGUACAAAUGUAAAAAAAAUAGAUAAAAAACAUGAGACAAAAAUAGAAGACAAAUAAGAUCGAAGACAAACCCAGAGAACACAUAUUAGUUAAAAAGGUCUAUAAAAAUACUACUAUAGCUACUGUAGAAAGAGCAGCCCUGCAGGCCUCCGAGGUUUCUCUCCAGAGGUUUCUCUCCAGAGGUUUCUCUCCAGAGGUUUCUCUCCAGAGGUUUCUCUUCAGAGGUUUGUCUUCAGAGGUUUCUCUUCAGAGGUUUCCCUCCAGAGGUUUCUCUCCAGAGGUUUCUCUCCAGAGGUUUCUCUCCAGAGGUUUCUCUCCAGAGGUUUCUCUCCAGAGGUUUCUCUUCAGAGGUUUCUCUCCAGAGGUUUCUCUCCAGAGGUUUCCCUCCAGAGUUUUCUCUCCAGAGGUUUCUCUUCAAGAGGUUUCUCUCCAGAGGUUUCUCUGGACCGGGUCCUGGAGAUGGAGGCAGUGUGUGAGGCCGCCCGUCCCGUACUAACAAACAGACAGCCCUCAGAGAGCCAGGCAAGGGGGGGUUAGACCAGGGAUGGGAUGGGGUUGGGGCUGGGGGUACGGCUUGGGGG